CGUUGCUCGGAAUCACUGGGCGUAAAGGGUGCGUAGGCGGCUUUUUAUGUCUGGUGUGAAAGCCCAGGGCUCAGCUCUGGAAGUGCACUAGAAACUGGGAAGCUUGAGUACCGGAGGGGAGAGUGGAAUUCCUGGUGUAGCGGUGAAAUGCGCAGAUAUCAGGAGGAACACCCGUGGCGAAAGCGGCUCUCUGGGACGGUACUGACGCUGAGACGCGAAAGCGUGGGGAGCAAACAGG
rnacentral:rRNA from 1 species